rnacentral:rRNA from 1 species
CGUAGGGUGCAGGCGUUAAUCGGAAUUACUGGGCGUAAAGCGUGCGCAGGCGGUCUUUUAAGUCAGAUGUGAAAUCCCCGGGCUUAACCUGGGAACUGCGUUUGAAACUGGAAGGCUUGAGUGUGGCAGAGGGGGGUGGAAUUCCACGUGUAGCAGUGAAAUGCGUAGAGAUGUGGAGGAACACCGAUGGCGAAGGCAGCCCCCUGGGCUAGCACUGACGCUCAUGCACGAAAGCGUGGGGAGCAAACAGGAUUAGAUACCCUGGUAGUCCACGCCCUAAACUAUGUCAACUGGUUGUCGGGGAAGCAAUUCCUUGGUAACGAAGCUAACGCGUGAAGUUGACCGCCUGGGGAGUACGGCCGCAAGGUUA